rnacentral:rRNA from 1 species
UACGGAGGGUGCGAGCGUUGUCCGGAAUCAUUGGGCGUAAAGGGCGCGUAGGUGGCGGGACAAGCGUGCGGUGAAAGCCUGGGGCUCAACCCCGGGUCGGCCGUGCGAACUGUUUUGCUUGAGCACUGUAGAGGCAGGCGGAAUUCCGGGUGUAGCGGUGGAAUGCGUAGAGAUCCGGAAGAACACCGGUGGCGAAGGCAGCUUGCUGGGACGGCACUGACGCUGAGACGCGAAAGCGUGGGGAGCAAACAGG